rnacentral:rRNA from 1 species
CAGUAGCCACGGUAAAACGGAGGGUGCAAGCGUUAAUCGGAAUUACUGGGCGUAAAGCGUGCGUAGGCGGUUCGUUAAGUCUGUUGUGAAAGCCCCGGGCUCAACCUGGGAAUGGCAAUGGAUACUGGCGAGCUAGAGUGUGUCAGAGGAUGGUGGAAUUCCCGGUGUAGCGGUGAAAUGCGUAGAGAUCGGGAGGAACAUCAGUGGCGAAGGCGGCCAUCUGGGACAACACUGACGCUGAGGCACGAAAGCGUGGGGAGCAAACAGGAUUAGAGACCCGUGUAGUCCCUGUCUCUUAUAC